UAGGGUUUAGGGUUUAGGGUUUAAAACCCUAAACCCUAAACCCUAAAACCUAAUUUAGGGUUGAGGGUUUAGGGUUUAAAACCCUAAACCCUAA
rnacentral:tRNA from 1 species